rnacentral:rRNA from 1 species
GAUGAACGCUAGCUACAGGCUUAACACAUGCAAGUCGAGGGGAAACGACAUCGAAAGCUUGCUUUUGAUGGGCGUCGACCGGCGCACGGGUGAGUAACGCGUAUCCAACCUGCCCAUCACUUGGGGAUAACCUUGCGAAAGUAAGACUAAUACCCAAUGAUAUCUCUAGAAGACAUCUGAAAGAGAUUAAAGAUUUAUCGGUGAUGGAUGGGGAUGCGUCUGAUUAGCUUGUUGGCGGGGUAACGGCCCACCAAGGCAACGAUCAGUAGGGGUCCUGAGAGGAAGGUCCCCCACAUUGGAACUGAGACACGGUCCAAACUCCUACGGGAGGCAGCAGUGAGGAAUAUUGGUCAAUGGGCGAGAGCCUGAACCAGCCAAGUAGCGUGCAGGAAGACGGCCCUAUGGGUUGUAAACUGCUUUUAUAAGGGAAUAAAGUGAGAGUCGUGACUCUUUUUGUAUGUACCUUAUGAAUAAGGACCGGCUAAUUCCGUG